UACGUAGGUGGCAAGCGUUACUCGGAAUCACUAGGCGUAAAGCGCACGUAGGCGGUUUGGUAAGUCUUUUGUGAAAGCUCCCGGCUCAACUGGGAGAGGUCAAGGGAAACUACCGGACUUGAGUGUGGUAGGGGAUACUGGAAUUCCUGGUGUAGCGGUGAAAUGCGUAGAUAUCAGGAGGAAUACCUAUGGCGAAAGCAGGUAUCUAGGCCGUCACUGACGCUGAGGUGCGAAAGCUAGGGGAGCAAACAGG
rnacentral:rRNA from 1 species